rnacentral:rRNA from 1 species
AGAGUUUGAUCCUGGCUCAGAACGAACGCUGGCGGCGUGCUUAACACAUGCAAGUCGAGUGCGCGUUUUCGUAGCAAUACGGAAAUGGCGCACGGCGCACGGGUGCGUAACACGUGGGUAACCUGCCCUUUGGUGGGGAAUAACUUCGCGAAAGCGAAGCUAAUUCCGCAUAAGAUCCGCAAGGAUGAAAGCCGAAAGGCGCCGAUGGAGGGGCCCGCGCACGAUUAGCUAGUUGGUAGGGUAAUGGCCUACCAAGGCUUUGAUCGUUAGCUGGUCUGAGAGGAUGAUCAGCCACACUGGAACUGAGACACGGUCCAGACUCCUACGGGAGGCAGCAGUGGGGAAUCUUGCACAAUGGGCGAAAGCCUGAUGCAGCGACGCCGCGUGGGGGAUGAAGCUUUUCGGAGUGUAAACCCCUUUCGAUCCGGACGAAACCCCGCAAGGGAUUGACGGUACGGAUAUAAGAAGCCCCGGCUAACUACGUGCCAGCAGCCGCGGUAAUACGUAGGGGGCCAGCGUUGUUCGGAAUUACUGGGUGUAAAGGGUUCGUAGGCGGUGCGGCAAGUUGGGAGUGAAAUCUCUGGGCUUAACCCAGAGGCUGCUCUCAAAACUGCUGUGCUUGAGUGUGAGAGAGGCUCGUGGAAUUGCAGGUGUAGCGGUGAAAUGCGUAGAUAUCUGCAGGAACACCCGUGGCGAAAGCGGCGAGCUGGAUCACUACUGACGCUGAGGAACGAAAGCUAGGGGAGCAAACAGGAUUAGAUACCCUAGUAGUCC